UGGGGAAUAUUGCACAAUGGGCGAAAGCCUGAUGCAGCCAUGCCGCGUGUGUGAAGAAGGCCUUCGGGUUGUAAAGCACUUUCAGUCGUGAGGAAAGGUGAGCAGUUAAUACCUCACAUCUCGUGACGUUACUGACAGAAGAAGCACCGGCUAACUCCGU
rnacentral:rRNA from 1 species